CGGGCGGUGUGUACACUUUUUAGAGCUUUUUUCAUAUACUUCUUCUUUAUUCUUAUAUUACUAUCGAAUCCUUUUUCUUUUACAAAUUUCAUAAUAAUUUCCUCUGUUAUAAAAUAGAGUAGCUCAUCUAUUCCUAAUCUAUGAGCUGCACCUUGAUCUGACGUAAGGGGUUAUUUUCCUUAAGGCUCACUUUCUUACAGAGGUGAACUGGCGACGAUGGUAUACAAGCUGAUAUAUUCUAAGAUUAGUAAGGUUUCUUGUGGGUUAUCAAUUUAAUGACAAGCUCCUCCGAAGAGAUCUAAAAAACCGCCAAGUUCUUUAAGUUUAAGCUAGGUUAGCCGUACUUCUCUGGUGUUUAAGUUUUACUGAAGGUAUAGUGGGGUA
rnacentral:rRNA from 1 species